rnacentral:rRNA from 1 species
UACAGAGGAGCCAAGCGUUGUCCGGAUUGACUGGGCGUAAAGCGCACGCAGGCGGUCUGGCGCGUGGGGUGUGAAAUCUGGCCGCUUAACGGCCAGGCGCCAUCCCAUACGGCCGGACUGGAGCCUUGCAGAGGUCGGUGGAAUUGCCGGUGUAGUGGUGAAAUGCGUAGAGAUCAGCAGGAACACCCGUGGCGAAGGCGGCCCCCUGGGCCGUACCUGACGCUGAGGCGCGAAGGCUAGGGGAGCGAACGGG